UACGUAGGGGGCAAGCGUUGUCCGGAUUUAUUGGGCGUAAAGAGCGUGUAGGCGGCCAGACAGGUCAGCUGUGAAAAACUCGAGCUCAACCUCGAGACGCCGAUGGAAAACCCUCUAGCUAGAGUCCGGAAGAGGAGAGUGGAAAUUCCCGGUGUAGCGGUGAAAUGCGCAGAUAUCGGGAAGAACACCCGUGGCUAAGGCGGCUCUCUAGUAGUAUGACGCUGAGACGCGAAAAGCGUGGGGGAGCGAACAGGA
rnacentral:rRNA from 1 species